rnacentral:rRNA from 1 species
CCUACGGGGGGCUGCAGUGGGGAAUAUUGGACAAUGGGCGAAAGCCUGAUCCAGCCAUGCCGCGUGUGUGAAGAAGGCCUUCGGGUUGUAAAGCACUUUCAGUGGGGAAGAAAGCCUUGGGGCUAAUACCCUCGAGGAAGGACAUCACCCACAGAAGAAGCACCGGCUAACUCCGUGCCAGCAGCCGCGGUAAUACGGAGGGUGCGAGCGUUAAUCGGAAUUACUGGGCGUAAAGCGCGCGUAGGCGGUCUGAUAAGCCGGUUGUGAAAGCCCCGGGCUCAACCUGGGAACGGCAUCCGGAACUGUCAGGCUAGAGUGCAGGAGAGGAAGGUAGAAUUCCCGGUGUAGCGGUGAAAUGCGUAGAGAUUGGGAGGAAUACCAGUGGCGAAGGCGGCCUUCUGGACUGACACUGACGCUGAGGUGCGAAAGCGUGGGUAGCAAACAGGAUUAGAUACCCUAGUAGUC